rnacentral:rRNA from 1 species
GCGAACGGGUGAGUAACACGUGGGUAACCUGCCCAUCAGAAGGGGAUAACACUUGGAAACAGGUGCUAAUACCGUAUAACAAUCAAAACCGCAUGGUUUUGAUUUGAAAGGCGCUUUCGGGUGUCGCUGAUGGAUGGACCCGCGGUGCAUUAGCUAGUUGGUGAGGUAACGGCUCACCAAGGCCACGAUGCAUAGCCGACCUGAGAGGGUGAUCGGCCACAUUGGGACUGAGACACGGCCCAAACUCCUACGGGAGGCAGCAGUAGGGAAUCUUCGGCAAUGGACGAAAGUCUGACCGAGCAACGCCGCGUGAGUGAAGAAGGUUUUCGGAUCGUAAAACUCUGUUGUUAGAGAAGAACAAGGAUGAGAGUAACUGUUCAUCCCUUGACGGUAUCUAACCAGAAAGCCACGGCUAACUACGUGCCAGCAGCCGCGGUAAUACGUAGGUGGCAAGCGUUGUCCGGAUUUAUUGGGCGUAAAGCGAGCGCAGGCGGUUUCUUAAGUCUGAUGUGAAAGCC